CGAAAGCCUGACGGAGCAAGACCGCGUGGGGGAAGAAGGCUCUUGGGUUGUAAACCCCUUUUCUCUGGGAAGAAAGUUGUGGAAGCAACCUGACGGUACCAGAGGAAUCAGCAUCGGCUAACUCCGUGCCAGCAGCCGCGGUAAGACGGAGGAUGCAAGCGUUAUCCGGAAUGAUUGGGCGUAAAGCGUCCGCAGGUGGCAGUUCAAGUCUGCUGUCAAAGACCGGGGCUUAACUUCGGAAAGGCAGUGGAAACUGAACAGCUAGAGUAUGGUAGGGGCAGAGGGAAUUCCUGGUGUAGCGGUGAAAUGCGUAGAGAUCAGGAAGAACAUCGGUGGCGAAGGCGCUCUGCUGGACCAUAACUGACACUCAGGGACGAAAGCUAGGGGAGCG
rnacentral:rRNA from 1 species